rnacentral:rRNA from 1 species
GUGGAGCAUGUGGUUUAAUUCGAAAUUACGCGAAAAACCUUACCACCUCUUGCAUAGCAGUGAGCAUUCACCACUUGGUGAAGCAACCUGUUACAGGUGUUGCAUGGCCGUCGCCAGUCUGUGGUUUGAGCCGCAUCCUUAAUUGGUUGUAACAGACGAAACCUCUUCCGCGGGGCAAAACAGAUCCGUGGGACUGCCGGGGAAAACUCGGAGGAAGGUGGGGACGACGACAGGUCAGUAUGGCCCUUAUGGGGUGGGCUACACACGUGCUACAGUGGCGUAUCCAAUCGGAGGCGAGUUCGAAAGAAUCAGCAAAUCCCAGCAAAGUACGUCAGGUUCGGAACGUGGUCUGCAACUCGACCACGCGAAGUAGGAAUUGCUAGUAAUCGCGAAUCAGCAUGUCGCGGUGAACAUUAGUACAGGGAUAUUGUACACACCGCCUGUCACCGUGGGAAAGAAAUUCUGAUCUGAAGACCGAU